rnacentral:misc_RNA from 1 species
GAUGAAGAACGUAGCAAAAUGCGAUAAGUAAUGUGAAUUGCAGAAUUCAGUGAAUCAUCGAAUCUUUGAACGCACAUUGCGCCCGCCAGUAUUCUGGCGGGCAUGCCUGUUCGAGCGUCAUUUCAACCCCCAAGCACAGCUUGGUGUUGGGACUCGCGUUAAUUCGCGUUCCCCAAAUUGAUUGGCGGUCACGUCGAGCUUCCAUAGCGUAGUAGUAAAACCCUCGUUACUGGUAAUCGUCGCGGCCACGCCGUUAAACCCCAACUUCUGAAUGUUGACCUCGGAUCAGGUAGGAAUACCCGCUGAACUUAAGCAUAUCAAUAAGCGGAGGA